CUUCUACAGAAGAUACAGUAUUGCAAUGGGAAUGAUUCAGAGAAGAUCAGGAUGGCCCCUGUGCAAGGAUGGAAUUUUUAAAAUCAAAUUUCUAAAAAGCUGA
rnacentral:snRNA from 1 species